GAUGAGCGCUGGCGGCGUGCUUAACACAUGCAAGUCGAGCGAAGCAGUUAAGAAGAUUCUUCGGAUGAUUCUUGACUGACUGAGCGGCGGACGGGUGAGUAACGCGUGGGUGACCUGCCCCAUACCGGGGGAUAACAGCUGGAAACGGCUGCUAAUACCGCAUAAGCGCACAGAGCUGCAUGGCUCGGUGUGAAAAACUCCGGUGGUAUGGGAUGGGCCCGCGUCUGAUUAGGCAGUUGGCGGGGCAACGGCCCACCAAACCGACGAUCAGUAGCCGGCCUGAGAGGGCGACCGGCCACAUUGGGACUGAGACACGGCCCAAACUCCUACGGGAGGCAGCAGUGGGGAAUAUUGCACAAUGGGGGAAACCCUGAUGCAGCGACGCCGCGUGAGCGAAGAAGUAUUUCGGUAUGUAAAGCUCUAUCAGCAGGGAAGAUA
rnacentral:rRNA from 1 species